UACGGAGGGGGCUAGCGUUGUUCGGAAUUACUGGGCGUAAAGCGUACGUAGGCGGGUCUUUAAGUCAGGGGUGAAAUCCUGGAGCUCAACUCCAGAACUGCCUUUGAUACUGAGGAUCUUGAGUUCGGGAGAGGUGAGUGGAACUGCGAGUGUAGAGGUGAAAUUCGUAGAUAUUCGCAAGAACACCAGUGGCGAAGGCGGCUCACUGGCCCGAUACUGACGCUGAGGCACGAAAGCGUGGGGAGCAAACAGG
rnacentral:rRNA from 1 species